rnacentral:rRNA from 1 species
AAAUUUGAAAUCUGGCCCCCAGGGCCCGAGUUGUAAUUUGCAGAGGAUGCUUUUGGCGCGGUGCCUUCCGAGUUCCCUGGAACGGGACGCCAUAGAGGGUGAGAGCCCCGUCUGGUCGGACGCCUAGCCUGUGUAAAGCUCCUUCGACGAGUCGAGUAGUUUGGGAAUGCUGCUCUAAAUGGGAGGUAUAUGUCUUCUAAAGCUAAAUACCGGCCAGAGACCGAUAGCGCACAAGUAGAGUGAUCGAAAGAUGAAAAGCACUUUGAAAAGAGGGUUAAAUAGUACGUGAAAUUGUUGAAAGGGAAGCGCUUGUGACCAGACUUGGGCCCGGUGGAUCAUCCAGCGUUCUCGCUGGUGCACUCCGCCGGGUUCAGGCCAGCAUCAGUUCGCCGCGGGGGAAAAAGGCUUCGGGAACGUGGCUCCUACGGGAGUGUUAUAGCCCGUUGCAUAAUACCCUGGGGCGGACUGAGGUUCGCGCUCCGCAAGGAUGCUGGCGUAAUGGUCAUCAGCGACCCGUCUUGAAACACGGACCAAGGAGUCGUCUUCGUAUGCGAGUGUUCGGGUGUAAAACCCCUACGCGUAAUGAAAGUGAACGCAGGUGAGAGCUUCGGCGCAUCAUCGACCGAUCCUGAUGUUCUCGGAUGGAUUUGAGUAAGAGCAUACGGGGCCGGACCCGAAAGAAGGUGAACUAUGCCUGUAUAGGGUGAAGCCAGAGGAAACUCUGGUGGAGGCUCGCANCGGUUCUGACGUGCAAAUCG